rnacentral:rRNA from 1 species
UACGUAGGGUGCAAGCGUUGUCCGGAAUUAUUGGGCGUAAAGAGCUCGUAGGCGGUUUGUCGCGUCUGCUGUGAAAAUCCAGGGCUUAACCCUGGACCUGCAGUGGGUACGGGCAGACUGGAGUGCGGUAGGGGAGAUCGGAAUUCCUGGUGUAGCAGUGAAAUGCGCAGAUAUCAGGAGGAACACCGGUGGCGAAGGCGGAUCUCUGGGCCGUAACUGACGCUGAGGAGCGAAAGCAUGGGGAGCGAACAGG